AACAGGAUUAGAUACCCUGGUAGUCCACGCCGUAAACGAUGUUCACUCGCUGUUUGCGAUAUACAGCAAGCGGCUUAGCGAAAGCAUUAAGUGAACCACCUGGGGAGUACGAUCGCAAGGUUGAAACUCAAAGGAAUUGACGGGGGCCCGCACAAGCGGAGGAACAUGUGGUUUAAUUCGAUGAUACGCGAGGAACCUUACCCGGGCUUAAAUGUAGAUUGCAUAAUUUAGAAAUAGAUUUUUCCUUCACAGGACCAUCUACAAGGUGCUGCAUGGUUGUCGUCAGCUCGUGCCGUGAGGUGUCGGGUUAAGUCCCAUAACGAGCGCAACCCUUACCGUUAGUUGCCAACAGGUCAAGCUGGGGACUCUAGCGGGACUGCCACCGUAAGGUGAGAGGAAGGUGGGGAUGACGUCAAAUCAGCACGGCCCUUAUGUCCAGGGCUACACACGUGUUACAAUGGCCGGUACAGAGGGCAGCUACUUCGCGAGAAGAUGCUAAUCUUAAAAGCCGGUCUCAGUUCGGAUUGGAGUCUGCAACCCGACUCCAUGAAGUUGGAUUCGCUAGUAAUCGCGCAUCAGCCAUGGCGCGGUGAAUACGUUCCCGGGCCUUGUACACACCGCCCGUCAAGCCAUGGAAGUUGGGGGUACCUGAAGUCGAUUACCGCAAGGGAUUGCCUAGGGUAAAACCGAUAACUGGGGCUAAGUCGUAACAAGGUAGCCGUACCGGAAGGUGUGGCUG
rnacentral:rRNA from 1 species